rnacentral:lncRNA from 1 species
GAAAAAUGUAAGGCAAAAUGAUGGGAGCAUUUCUUCCCAAGUAACAAUCUUGUUUUAUUAAACCAAGCAUUUUGAUGGGACAUUAUGGAUAGACAAACUCCAGUGUGGGCAGACCGUGAAAAGAAUCAGUCAAAAGCAAAAAUCUUCUGUAUAAUAAAAUAAGCAGUAUCUGACUUUUCUAUCACAGGAUAGAGGUUGGGAGGAAAGUCUUGAAGAGGAGGAAAAGAAGCAGAACAAGAGGAAGCUGGAGAGAAAGCCUCAAACCCUGACUGGAAGGAAAAUAUGAACUCCCUCUCGAUCGAUUUUCUCCCAAGAAGACAUCAAUGCAUCUCCUGUUGCUGCUAAUGUUAUCGUCUUGAGGAACUCAGUUGGACUCUUCCUGGAUCUGAAGAAAACUCUCUCACUUAGAGGAAGAGAAUUUUGUGAACACUAGAGAAAGAGAAUUGGACACUUCGUAGGCUACACAAAUGAGUACAAAUGCCAUCAUGUCAUCACACGAAAUUUACUGUUGAGAUCAUUUAAAAGACUGAGCAAGUUAUAAAAUGAUGAGAAGAUUGUCACUGGUGAGAGUAUGAAGACAGAAGAGAGAAAGCAGAUGAGCAUGGAAGUAUGAUCACAGCGCAGAACUGCAGAUGUGGAAUUCUGUGGACUCUCAACCCAGUGAAACAAUCAUAAUUAUUGAAAAACAACUAACCAUUUACAGACUCUGGAAAUUGUCCUAAGAAUAUGCAGCAAAUAGAGAAACAUUUGUACAAGAAAAUCUAUUAAACCAUGGUUAAAAACACUGAGUCUGUGGCAUUUGAGGCACGACCUGCUCCCUCCCCCCCCCAGAUAAGUGUGAUAGAAGGUCUGCCCCAUGUUGUGUGGCUCUACGUGGAGAACACGAGUCUCGCUCACCACCAGCAUCCAGUCUAAGGCUUUGCUUUCUCUCAGGAUGGCAGGGCACCAGAGUUUCUCAUGCUCACCAAGCCCAUGUAGCAGAAGGCCUACUUCAGGCAAGCACACCCAAGAAGUCUGUAGUUUCCCCCCUCUAUCCAGCCCCUACAUGUACAGAGGAAGUCCUAGACCAUAGUAGGGCAAAAGUACUAGACCCUGAUGGGCUUGGCCCAGGGGCACAGCAGUUAAGGUCACACUUUACCCUUCAGUGGCCCAGGGUUCACCAGUUCAGAUCCUGGGUGCAGACCUAUGCACCACUUGUCAAGCCAUGCUGUGGCAGGUGUCCCACAUAUAAAGCAGAGGAAGAUCGGCAUGGAUGUUUAGCCCAUGGCCAGUCCUCCCCAGCAAAAAGAGGAGGAUUGGCAGCAGAUAUUAGCUCAGGGCUAAUCUUCCUCAAAAAAAAG